GCAAGACCGCGUGGGGGAGGAAGGCCCUUGGGUUGUAAACUCCUUUUCUCGGGGAAGAAGAACUGACGGUACCCGAGGAAAAAGCCCUCGGCUAACUCCGUGCCAGCAGCCGCGGUAAGACGGAGGAGGCAAGCGUUAUCCGGAAUUAUUGGGCGUAAAGGGUCCGCAGGUGGCGGUUCAAGUCUGCAGUCAAAGGUCGGGGCUCAACCCCGAAAAGGCUGUGGAAACUGAACAGCUAGAGUACGGUAGGGGCAGAGGGAAUUCCCAGUGUAGCGGUGAAAUGCGUAAAGAUUGGGAAGAACACCGGUGGCGAAAGCGCUCUGCUAGGCCGAAACUGACACUGAGGGACGAAAGCUAGGGGAGCGAAAGG
rnacentral:rRNA from 1 species